rnacentral:rRNA from 1 species
CACAUGCAAGUCGAGCGGCAGCGGAAAGUAGCUUGCUACUUUGCCGGCGAGCGGCGGACGGGUGAGUAAUGUCUGGGAAACUGCCUGAUGGAGGGGGAUAACUACUGGAAACGGUAGCUAAUACCGCAUGACCUCGCAAGAGCAAAGUGGGGGACCUUCGGGCCUCACGCCAUCGGAUGUGCCCAGAUGGGAUUAGCUAGUAGGUGGGGUAAUGGCUCACCUAGGCGACGAUCCCUAGCUGGUCUGAGAGGAUGACCAGCCACACUGGAACUGAGACACGGUCCAGACUCCUACGGGAGGCAGCAGUGGGGAAUAUUGCACAAUGGGCGCAAGCCUGAUGCAGCCAUGCCGCGUGUGUGAAGAAGGCCUUCGGGUUGUAAAGCACUUUCAGCGAGGAGGAAGGCAGUCGUGUUAAUAGCACGAUUGAUUGACGUUACU